AGGAUGAACGCUGGCGGCGUGCUUAACACAUGCAAGUCGAACGAUGACCCGGUGCUUGCACUGGUGAUUAGUGGCGAACGGGUGAGUAACACGUGAGUAACCUGCCCUUAACUCUGGGAUAAGCCUGGGAAACUGGGUCUAAUACCGGAUAUGACUCCUCAUCGCAUGGUGGGGGGUGGAAAGCUUUUUGUGGUUUUGGAUGGACUCGCGGCCUAUCAGCUUGUUGGUGAGGUAAUGGCUCACCAAGGCGACGACGGGUAGCCGGCCUGAGAGGGUGACCGGCCACACUGGGACUGAGACACGGCCCAGACUCCUACGGGAGGCAGCAGUGGGGGAAUAUUGGACAAUGGGCGAAAGCCUGAUCCAGCCAUGCCGCGUGCAGGAUGAAGGCCUUCGGGGUUGUAAACUG
rnacentral:rRNA from 1 species